rnacentral:rRNA from 1 species
GAGUUCAAGAGUACGUGAACCGUUCAGGGGUAAACCUGAGAAACCCGAAAGGUCAACKKGGAAAUUCAUUCGCGUUUCGAUUGCCGGUGUAGAGUGGCAGUGUGACGGAUGGCUUCCGGGUCGUACGCGCCUGUUAUUUUUCAACCGGUAUCGAACGCGUGCACUUUUCCUCUUGUUGAUCGUUGCGAUCCGUUGGGUGUCGGUCUAAGGCCUGCGAGGUAGCCCUGUUGGUUUUUCCGGCAGGACCCGCGGUGUUUCCCGACCGACUCGCUCGACGGUAUACAGAUGGCGCAGAGCCGCGACUCAGUUCGCGUUCGGCCCAAGGCAAGCUGAGGUGAUGUGUCGGUGAUCGGACCUAGCGCCGGUCCUGGCCUCGCUUUACUGUUGGCUUUGGAGUUCUCGAACAGACUCUGUGAAACGCUGAUCGCAACGCUAUAGCUUUGGGUACUUUCAGGACCCGUCUUGAA